UUUUUUCCUGUAGCAAUACAGGGAAACGUCUAGCGGCGAACGGGUGCUUAACACGUGGGCAAUCUGCCGAGAAGUGGGGGAUAGCUCGCCGAAAGGCGAAUUAAUACCGCAUGUGAUCAGAGUGGACAUCCAUUCAAAAUCAAAGUCGGGGCAACCUGACGCUUCUUGAGGAGCCCGCGGCCUAUCAGCUAGUUGGUGAGGUAACGGCCCACCAAGGCUUUGACGGGUAGCUGGUCUGAGAGGACGACCAGCCACACUGGGACUGAGACACGGCCCAGACACCUACGGGUGGCAGCAGUCGAGAAUUUUUCUCAAUGGGGGAAACCCUGAAGGAGCGACGCCGCGUGGAGGAUGAAGGUCUUCGGGUUGUAAACUCCUGUCAUUUGGGAACAAUGCGCAAAUAUUAACUGUAUUUGCGUUGAUAGUACCAGAAGAGGAAGAGACGGCUAACUCUGUGCCAGCAGCCGCGGUAAUACAGAGGUCUCAAGCGUUGUUCGGAUUCAUUGGGCGUAAAGGGUGCGUAGGCGGCGCGGUAAGUCGGGUGUGAAAUCUUGGAGCUUAACUCCGAAACUGCAUUCGAUACUGCCGUGCUUGAGGACUGGAGAGGAGACUGGAAUUUACGGUGUAGCGGUGAAAUGCGUAGAUAUCGUAAGGAAGACCAGUGGCGAAGGCGGGUCUCUGGACAGUUCCUGACGCUGAGGCACGAAGGCCAGGGGAGCAAACGGGAUUAGAUACCCCGGUAGUCCUGGCAGUAAACGGUGCACGUUUGGUGUGGGAGGAUUCGACCCCUUCUGCGCCGGAGCUAACGCGUUAAACGUGCCGCCUGGGGAGUACGGUCGCAAGA
rnacentral:rRNA from 1 species